rnacentral:rRNA from 1 species
UACGAAGGGGGCUAGCGUUGCUCGGAAUUACUGGGCGUAAAGGGCGCGUAGGCGGACAGUUUAGUCAGAGGUGAAAGCCCAGGGCUCAACCUUGGAAUAGCCUUUGAUACUGGCUGUCUUGAGUUCGGGAGAGGUGAGUGGAAUGCCGAGUGUAGAGGUGAAAUGCGCAGAUAUCAGGAGGAACACCGAUGGCGAAGGCAGCUCACUGGGACGGUACUGACGCUGAGGCGCGAAAGCGUGGGGAGCAAACAGG